rnacentral:rRNA from 1 species
UCGGGAAUAUUGCGCAAUGGAGGAAACUCUGACGCAGUGACGCCGCGUAUAGGAAGAAGGUUUUCGGAUUGUAAACUAUUGUCGUUAGGGAAGAUACAAGACAGUACCUAAGGAGGAAGCUCCGGCUAACUACGUGCCAGCAGCCGCGGUAAUACGUAGGGAGCAAGCGUUAUCCGGAUUUAUUGGGUGUAAAGGGUGCGUAGACGGGACAACAAGUUAGUUGUGAAAUCCCUCGGCUUAACUGAGGAACUGCAACUAAAACUAUUGUUCUUGAGUGUUGGAGAGGAAAGUGGAAUUCCUAGUGUAGCGGUGAAAUGCGUAGAUAUUAGGAGGAACACCGGUGGCGAAGGCGACUUUCUGGACAAUAACUGACGUUGAGGCACGAAAGUGUGGGGAGCAAACA